rnacentral:rRNA from 1 species
GCACAAGCGGAGGAGCAUGUGGUUUAAUUCGAUGAUACGCGAGGAACCUUACCUGGGCUCGAACGUAAGAUGACUGUAGGUGAAAGCUUACAUCUCUUCGGAGCAUUUUACGAGGUGCUGCAUGGUUGUCGUCAGCUCGUACCGUGAGGUGUCGGGUUAAGUCCCAUAACGAGCGCAACCCCUACCUUUAGUUGCCAUCAGGUAAUGCUGGGGACUCUAAAGGAACUGCCUACGCAAGUAGUGAGGAAGGCGGGGAUGACGUCAAAUCAGCACGGCCCUUACGUCCAGGGCUACACACGUGCUACAAUGGCCGAUACAGAGGGCAGCUACCUGGUGACAGGAUGCAAAUCUCCAAAGUCGGUCUCAGUUCGGAUCGGAGUCUGCAACCCGACUCCGUGAAGUUGGAUUCGCUAGUAAUCGCGCAUCAGCCAUGGCGCGGUGAAUACGUUCCCGGGCCUU